rnacentral:tRNA from 1 species
CAACAUCUGGUCUAGCGGUGUGAUUCUCGCUUAGGGUGCGAGAGGUCCCGAGUUCAAUUCUCGGAAUGCCCC